CAGCAGAUCCUUGUUAAGAUGGAGGAGGUUCCCAACAAGAGGAAUGGGCAUCCUCGCACACCAUGUCAUGGUCCUAAUCCUAUACCACCUCAGCAACUGCUCCUUGUAUAGCUGCAAGUGUGUCUGCCGCUCCUAGAACCACCUCAUCUCAGACGUCGAGUACCAUGAGGAGCGGCUCAGAUUGUUGCCGGAUUGUUCUAUCACACCUGGAAAGGCAAAGCCACUUCACCAGAGUCACUGAUGAAACCCCUUGUCAUUAUUGCCC
rnacentral:lncRNA from 1 species